AAUGCAGCCGUAGUGUGCUGCCGGGGCUUCGGUAAAACCAUUGUCGUGUUUCUUUAAAAGGAAGGAACUUUGUUUUUCCAUUUCUGGAACGUUGGGAUUUUCCCCGUGCGGAGCAGGAAUCUGGCUGCCGGUGAGGUCGUUCCCGUUUCAGGUUUUGGGGAGGAGGUGUGUGUGGUUUGGGAGGGAGGGAGGGAGGGGGGUUCUUCUCAUGUGGACUAUGUGGAGAAUUCCUGCCUGUUAGAUUGAAACCAUAUGAAUGGAGAAAAUACAAGGGGACGUUAAAAGGAGGGGAAGUGAAUGGACUCCAUUGAUGCCCACUCUUCUAUGUCCUGUGGGGGGAAAGUUGCUUUUUACGCACAAGAGGGUGAACUAGGAAGGGGGUUGGAGUGUGUGUGUGUGUGUGUGUGUGGAAUGUUGGUUUAAACUGAAACAGGCCUGCCUCCAUGUUCUUCCACGACUGACUGACUGUGUGAGGUAAGGGGAUGGUAGAGGGUACUCUCCUACUGACAGACUGACUGUGUGAGGUAAGGGGAUGGUAGAGGGUGCUCUCCUACUGACUGACUGACUGUGUGAGGUAAGGGGAUGGUAGAGGGUACUCUCCUACUGACUGACUGACUGUGUGAGGUAAGGGGAUGGUAGAGGGUACUCUCCUACUGACUGACUGACUGUGUGAGGUAAGGGGAUGGUAGAGGGUACUCUCCUACUGACUGACUGUGUGAGGUAAGGGGAUGGUAGAGGGUACUCUCCUACUGACUGACUGACUGUGUGAGGUAAGGGGAUGGUAGAGGGUACUCUCCUACUGACUGACUGACUGUGUGAGGUAAGGGGAUGGUAGAGGGUACUCUCCUACUGACUGACUGACUGUGUGAGGUAAGGGGAUGGUAGAGGGUACUCUCCUACUGACUGACUGUGUGAGGUAAGGGGAUGGUAGAGGGUACUCUCCUACUGACUGACUGUGUGAGGUAAGGGGAUGGUAGAGGGUACUCUCCUACUGACUGACUGACUGUGUGAGGUAAGGGGAUGGUAGAGGGUACUCUCCUACUGACUGACUGACUGUGUGAGGUAAGGGGAUGGUAGAGGGUACUCUCCUACUGACUGACUGACUGUGUGAGGUAAGGGGAUGGUAGAGGGUACUCUCCUACUGACUGACUGUGUGAGGUAAGGGGAUGGUAGAGGGUACUCUCCUACUGACUGACUGUGUGAGGUAAGGGGAUGGUAGAGGGUACUCUCCUACUGACAGACUGACUGUGUGAGGUAAGGGGAUGGUAGAGGGUACUCUCCUACUGACUGACUGACUGUGUGAGGUAAGGGGAUGGUAGAGGGUACUCUCCUACUGACUGACUGACUGUGUGAGGUAAGGGGAUGGUAGAGGGUACUCUCCUACUGACUGACUGACUGUGUGAGGUAAGGGGAUGGUAGAGGGUACUCUCCUACUGACUGACUGUGUGAGGUAAGGGGAUGGUAGAGGGUACUCUCCUACUGACUGACUGACUGUGUGAGGUAAGGGGAUGGUAGAGGGUACUCUCCUACUGACUGACUGACUGUGUGAGGUAAGGGGAUGGUAGAGGGUACUCUCCUACUGACUGACUGUGUGAGGUAAGGGGAUGGUAGAGGGUACUCUCCUACUGACUGACUGUGUGAGGUAAGGGGAUGGUAGAGGGUACUCUCCUACUGACUGACUGACUGUGUGAGGUAAGGGGAUGGUAGAGGGUACUCUCCUACUGACUGACUGACUGUGUGAGGUAAGGGGAUGGUAGAGGGUACUCUCCUACUGACUGACUGACUGUGUGAGGUAAGGGGAUGGUAGAGGGUACUCUCCUACUGACUGACUGACUGUGUGAGGUAAGGGGAUGGUAGAGGGUACUCUCCUACUGACUGACUGUGUGAGGUAAGGGGAUGGUAGAGGGUACUCUCCUACUGACUGACUGACUGUGUGAGGUAAGGGGAUGGUAGAGGGUACUCUCCUACUGACUGACUGUGUGAGGUAAGGGGAUGGUAGAGGGUACUCUCCUACUGACAGACUGACUGUGUGAGGUAAGGGGAUGGUAGAGGGUACUCUCCUACUGACUGACUGACUGUGUGAGGUAAGGGGAUGGUAGAGGGUACUCUCCUACUGACUGACUGACUGUGUGAGGUAAGGGGGGGGUGGACUCCUUCCGUCUGUUUUUUAGGAAGGGGUGUAGUGAUUUUUUUUGUAACCUUUAUUUAACUAGUUAAGUCAGUUAAGAACAAAUUAUUAUUUACAAUGACGGCCUAGGGAACAGUGGGUUAGCUGCCUUGUUCAGGGGCAGAACGUCAGAUUUGUACCUUGUCAGCUCGGAGAUUCGAGAGAUCGGGGAUUCGAUCUAGCAACCUUUUGGUUACUGGCCCAACGC